rnacentral:lncRNA from 1 species
GAAAUUGCUCCAUUAUCUCUUAUUUUACAGGUUUCAUUUUCUGUUUUUUUUUUCUUUCUAUUUAACUCAAUAUCUUCUUCCUUCUUUUUUUCCAAUUUACCUUCUCAUCCUUCACCAAUUAUCACACUAAAUUUAUUCUCCUAAAAGAGUUAUAUUUUUUUUUUCUUUUAGUAACUCCAUAUAUCAUUUUAACACUGCAUACUCCCCAUCCUUUGCAAAUAAGAAUAAUGUAAAAUAUGGUAUGUAAAUAAUGCUUGCGUUAGCUAUACUUGCAUUAAUUAUGCUUGUAUUUUUAUUAUGCAGUGUUUGAUUUGAUAUAUUAAAAUAACAUGAAUUAAAUAAUUUUUAUUUUUUUUAUUUUUACAAAAAUAUCCUCUGUAUAUAUAUUAGAAAGGAUGUGAAUUUUUUUUUUUUUAGCGAUAAUAGUGUCUUUAAUCAUGUUAAUGCAUGUAUUGGAUCAAUUGCAUUGCUAAUACCAUGGAUUUUGAGGUAUUAUUAAUACACACCUCAAUACACAAUAGAGUGUAUAAUUAAUGCACAUAGGGUGCAAAAAUAUACCAAAUAAGGUAUUAGUAAUACACAUUAAGCUAAUGCAUCCAUUAGUUUUCUAAUACACUCUACCAAACGACUUACUACUUUUAAAGUUUUCUUUUUCUUCUCUCCCUUCGCUUUUCUUUUUAUUUCUUUCCAUUUAAUUUAAUAUUUUCUUCCUUUAGUUUACAGUUUGCCUCAUUUGACUUAUUGAGAAGAAGAAAGAAGUCACGGAUCGUCAGCUGGACAAAUGCACAAUUAGUUAAUAAUGAACUCACUUCACAAAAUUAGUUAAUAGGAUCACAGUUAAUUGAGGUAGUUACAGCAAUGGAGCUAACUCACCUACCACUAAUCCACCAGCUAAUCCACUAGUACUAACUCUAUAUAUACUCGUCUAUACUCAUUUAAUCGUUAUGAUGAAUAAUACUAAUCACUUGACAACUACAUUGUUCUCUCCUUUCUCUCUCUUCUUCUCUCAUUCUCUAUCACUUCUUCAUCAUCAACUACUAUACAUUUCUCAGUUUCUGAGUUUCUCUGUAGUAGUUCUUAGCUGCUCAUUUAACCUAAUGCAUCUCCAACUCGUUCCCACUAUACCAUGGACACCCGAAGCUGAUAUACUACAUAAAUUUUAGAGGUGUCUAGAUGAUCAUUUGUUAGUUGACGUGUUCUGCAGAUAGUGGAACGAGUUGAGAUGUCUAGAUAUACAUUCUUAAAGUUGACGUACUUAAAUGCCAGCUGAGAUCAUGUUUGAGUGUUUGUUUAUAUAUUACUAUUUAUAUAUUAUUUCAAGUUCAAACCAUUUUUUGCCAUAUAGAUUUGUGCUAUAUUUAGUUUUCUAAUGUAGUCAUUGACUUUUUGUUGUUUGUAUGUCAGGUAAGAGCAUUGACCAAAGAUCACAAAUUCUCAGAAAAUUAAGGAUAGAACUACAAUAUCAAAAUGGUGCUUGCACCACUGGCGGACUGUAUGCAUCUUAAAUGCUUAUUAUUAGUUUUACUGGUGAGAGGUAGUAGGUAUCCUAAGAAAUUAGUCAAAAGGUAUGCAUACUGGUGUAGUAUAUUACAAUUAUCAAAAAAGGAAAGAUAUAGGACAAGAAUAUGAAUAUGUGUGUAGAACCUUGAGUAUGGUCCUAUAUAUUUCAAAAUAAAUGAAAGUGACAAUUAUGAGACAAAACUUGUAUUUUGCACAAACUAACAGUUGAUCUUUCUACAUCAUUUAUCCUUUUAUUUUGUGGAUGAAGUAAUAGUUGAAUUUUUUAUUUUUUUAUAACUGUUGUGAGUAGUGAGUUAAGAAACGGCAGUUUGGUACACUAAAGUGCCCUGCGAUGUGCAAUAUUCGGGGAAGGGUUGGACCAUAAGAGUUUAUUGUAUGCAGCCUUACCUUGCAUUUCUGACAAAGACUGUCUCUACGACUUGAAUCCAUGACCUCCUAAUCACACGACAACGACUUUACCAGCUAUUCUAAAGGCUUCCCUUCUAUUGAGUAUGUUGAGAAAUGAUUCUAGAAGAUACUUGACCAAGUCUUCAAGAAGUUAGUUGUUAGUUAGUUUCCUUUAUUCUAGCAAUUUUAGAUAGUGUUGCAGAUUAGUAGCUAGUCAUUAAAUCACUGGGUUAGUGUACCUAAAUUUUAGAGUUUUCAGUUUGAUUGUGAGCCUAUUUAAAGGCAGGUCUCUUUACUUUCAUAAUGCAAUCAGAAAUAAAAGAUCACUACAGUAGUUUUUAUCUCUUUCGCUCUGUUUUCUGUCCAGUUUCUCCUUUAGCUUCCUUUUUCCUUUCCAACAAAUCUGGUACCAGAGACCAAUUUCUUUUUCAAAUUGAGUGAAGCGUGGGCUUAUAUCAAUUGAGUAUUUAAG